GGAUGAAGAGUUUGAAUACCGGACGAUUACCGCUUCAAACUGAGGGUCAAAAGAACACUCUUUUGAGACUGUGAAGGGGGACACACUACCUCUAAAAUGAGUCAGUGUGGAGACGGACACACUACCUCUAAAAUGAGUCAGUGUGGAGACGGACACACAACCUCUAAAAUGAGUCAGUGUGGAGACGGACACACUACCUCUAAAAUGAGUCAGUGUGGAGACGGACACACUACCUCUAAAAUGAGUCAGUGUGGAGACAGAGGGCAGGGAGCCACUGCCUCUAAAAGGCCGUAUUCUGAAGACUGUGACGUGAAGGCUGUUCCUUCUAAAAAGAAAUGCUUAACUGAAGAUAUCAUAGAGGAAUCUCUCUUGGACCCCUGUGUUGAGACACAGAGGGCAGCAUCUCCAGUUCCCAGCUGUGUGUCUAUGAAGAGUGACAGUUCCAUGAUAGAUCGGCCAGGAUUCAUUG